rnacentral:rRNA from 1 species
UACGUAGGGUGCGAGCGUUGUCCGGAAUUAUUGGGCGUAAAGAGCUCGUAGGCGGUUUGUCGCGUCUGCUGUGAAAAACCUAAGGCUCAACCUUGGGCUUGCAGUGGGUACGGGCAGACUAGAGUGAUGUAGGGGAGACUGGAAUUCCUGGUGUAGCGGUGAAAUGCGCAGAUAUCAGGAGGAACACCGGUGGCGAAGGCGGUUCUCUGGGCAUUACCUGACGCUGAGGAGCGAAAGUGUGGGGAGCGAACAGG